CGAGGCGGGGCAGGGCGGAGCGGGGCGGGCGGCCGGGGAGCUGUCCGCCGGGAAGCGGGAGCCGCACUCCGGCCGGUCGGCGUCGCGGGAUGGCGGGAGGGCGGCAGCGGCAGCGGCGGGCCAAGCGGCGGCAGAAACAGUUGCAGAGAGGGGCCUCGCGGAGGCCGCCUGACGACGGAGAACGCGUGUGGUUCAAGGGAAAAGAGAAGGUGUGGUGUUUGAACUGUGAUGAGACACACGUACUCGUUUGCUCCUGUGAUGGGAAGCUUUAUGAAUGCUGGACCACGGCUCCAGGCAAAACCUCUAAGCUAAGGCUGGUGAAAGAACUGGAAAACAACGAUAUUGUUCAAAUAGCCUGUGGAGACCAUCACUCCAUGGCGCUGUCCAGAGGAGGCAGUCUCUUUACCUGGGGCCAGAAUACCCAUGGACAGCUUGGAGUGGGGAGCCAAGACCUGCUCAUCUCCAAACCGCAGCUGGUGAAAGGCCUAAAGGGCAUCCCACUUGCUCAAAUUGCUGCUGGAGGAGCUCACAGCGUUGUUGUGUCACUCUCUGGAGCUGUAUACUCCUGGGGAAAGAACGAUUUUGGACAGCUGGGACUUGGACAUACAGAAGACAGGGACUGCCCAUCAUACGUUGAAGCAUUAGAACACUGGAAGGCUGUAUUUAUCUCAUGUGGGGAAGACCACACUGCAGUUCUCUCCAAGAAUGGCUUGGUGUUCACCUUUGGAGCAGGAGGGGCUGGCCAGCUUGGUCACAACUCCACCCGGAAUGAAUUUAGACCUCGCAUGGUGGCUGAACUGUGGGGAGCAAGAGUUUCACUGGUUGCCUGUGGAAGGCAGCACACCCUGGUCUAUGUCCCAUCUUUGGACAAAGUCUAUUCAUUUGGUUCUUAUGAAGGACAGCUGGGAAGUGAGAGAAAAGCUAAUCAGUUGAUACCACUGCCCAUCAAUUCACCAGUGGAUAAUGGGAAAUAUUGUCAGGAAAACACAUCACAAAAUGUGAUUGAAACUACUGCAGAAGGAAGGGAAAAUAUCGUUGACCUUCUCUUUAAGAAAAGGAAUUCCUACCCUGUGAAUGGAAUUGCCACUCUGGAGAGGAAAGAAGUGAAUGCAUGGGUUUCUAAUUCCUGUUCAGAACAUUGGAAGAUUAUAAAAAAGAAUAUCGGACUGAUCUUCUCAUCUGAGGCUUGCAUCAAUGGAAGUUUCUUGGAUAAAAGGGGCAAACAUUUCAAAACUUCCCAGGAAAUCUCAGGUGUAGACAUGGCAGAAGUGCUAAGCUUUUGUAAGAAGAUCAGCAAGAAUGUAGAAGUCUACCAGGAGGUGCACGAGGAGAUACAUAAUUUACUGCCAUCAUUGUCUUCUUCUCCUGUUUCACCUGAAAAUUUCAGAGUCUACUUGAUCUUGCCUUUCCUUCUGCAGCAAAAGGAUGUCAGAUCUUACAGUACCCUCAAGCUGCUAGCAGAAGCUAUCCUGAGGCUCCAGCAGAAGGACCUGCAAACUCUUGAAUGCCUGUGGUCAAAUCUAGAAAAAGUCUUUUUCAAGAAGCUGGUUUUUCUAUUUAAGAUGGCUUCCCUGUACUCUCUGAUGGAACGUCUCAUGUGCAAUUUCUCUGUGCAACACCCACAAGAAAUAGAGGCUCUGCAAAUACUGCAGAUUCUUUACCAGGUGAACUCCAGAGCUGGUUUCAGGCUACAAGACAACCAUUUCUAUAUACCUGAAAUGGGAGACCUUGUCCUUCGUUUUUGCACCAGUGGCAGAGAUCUGACAGUGCUGAUUAAAUAUCCCUGCAUUUUUGACAUGGAGGCCAAGCUGCUGAUUCAUUCUUUAGAAUGCAACAGACUGUUUUUCAGCAUUCCUCCAGGGUUACCAUACAUGUUCCAGAAACAGUGGACGUUUCCUGUCAGGAGAGAAUACCUUCUGCAUGACAUACGGGAUCAUUUACGAAACGCGACGAACAGCCAAUUCAGGCAUUUCUUAGACGUAAGACAUCAAACUAUGUAUUUUUUUUCAGCUCUAAAUCUAUUACAGCAGUGUUCUGAAGUAUUGUAAGUAAGUUCUGCUGGGGACAUAAGUAAAUCGGGAGAGUAGUAUCAUACUUUCUUAUUCCAAGUAGCUAAUGAGCAUUGUGGGUAUAAUUUAAACGCAAUCGGCAGUGCUAUUUACUGUGAAGUUGCUUUGGAAUAAUGUAAUAGGAUUGCUCAGGAAACCAGUUAGUUGGUGAAUUCCAGUACUAUUACUGCUAGAUUCACUUUACUAGGCUAAUCUGCUGUGCACGAAAAACCUGGUGGACAGGUUGUUCUUGUCAGCACUAGAGGCCAGCAAGUGACAUGGCCAAAAAAGCCAUUUCUCUAGUGAAGUUGCCUGGAGGGAAAAGGAAGAAUAAUGCCCCCCCAGGAGGGAGGAAAGGCUGAUUGUAACACUGCUGUUUCCCUGUGAUUUUAUUUGUGGUUUCCCCUGUACAAAGGUUUUGGUAGCCAGAUCUUCAGAUGACUGCAGUGCUAGCCCUUUCCUGCAAAAGUAAUCGGGUGGCUGACACGGGAUCCGGGCACACGGGUCCCUUCCCAGAGCUGAGCUGAGCUCAGCCUGAGGACCACGUGCCUGUGUUCUCAGUCACUGACACAAGGGCUGUCUGGUAUUGCACCUGUGCAGCGAGGCAUUACCCAAUUCUGGUUCUUGCCAAGUGAGCCUUCUUGCCAGUGGGUUGUCAGAGCUUUUCCUUCAUAUGCAUCUAGAAGAUUCACAAAUGGCUUCUAGAGCUACCUUCCCUUUUUUCUUUCUCACUAUGUCAGCUGAAAUAGGUGCUUGUAUUGUUUUUUUAAACAUAGGCAAUAAGGUUUGUGCUCUGUACUAUGCUCUAGAUGAACCUGUCUCCACUGAUUGCACAAGGAGCCCUGACAGAUCACUGGGCUUACCUCGAGUUAAGCCCUCCAAGCCCUCUGCUCUUGAUGCAUCCCAGCAUUAUUUGUGCAGCAGUAGCCUGAUCAGUGUGAUUGCUUUAUUAGUUUCUUGUCAGUAGACACUAAGACCUGCUAUGUUUCCAACAUAGUACUGCAAUUCUGAUUUUUUUCAGCAGUUACAGGACAUAGUGUCACUCCAUUCUCUAGUGCUGCUGUAAAUGGGAACAGGGAAAGCCAAAGUAUUCAGCAGAAGUAUUUACUGUUCCCUCUCUACUAAGGAGGACACAGUGCUAAGGAGAAAGAUACUCUAUGCAUACAUAGAGAGUAUCCAAACAAAAUUCUUCCUUCAACUCAAGGCCUGUUGAGAAUCAUUAACCUAAUUUAUUUUACGUUCCUCUGACACUAAGACAAAAGCAUUUCCGUACAUCAGGUCAAGAUAAACAAAAAUCAAAGCUCAUGAAACAAAGAGAGAUUCGUACCACCCCAUGUUGUCA
rnacentral:lncRNA from 1 species